rnacentral:rRNA from 1 species
UACGUAGGGACCAAGCGUUGUUCGGAUUUACUGGGCGUAAGGGCGCGUAGGCGGCAUGACAAGUCACUUGUGAAAUCUCCGGGCUUAACUCGGAACGGUCAAGUGAUACUGUCGCGCUAGAGUGCGGAAGGGGCAAUCAGAAUUCUUGGUGUAGCGGUGAAAUGCGUAGAUAUCAAGAGGAAUACCUGAGGUGAAGACGGGUUGCUAGGCCGACACUGACGCUGAAGCGCGAAAGCCAGGGGAGCAAACGGG